rnacentral:rRNA from 1 species
AACGAACGCUGGCGGCAUGCCUAACACAUGCAAGUCGAACGAGACCUUCGGGUCUAGUGGCGCACGGGUGCGUAACGCGUGGGAACCUGCCCUUAGGUUCGGAAUAACUCCCCGAAAGGGGUGCUAAUACCGGAUAAUGUCUUCGGACCAAAGAUUUAUCGCCUUUGGAUGGGCCCGCGUUGGAUUAGCUAGUUGGUAGGGUAAAAGCCUACCAAGGCGACGAUCCAUAGCUGGUCUGAGAGGAUGAUCAGCCACACUGGGACUGAGACACGGCCCAGACUCCUACGGGAGGGAGCAGUAGGGAGUAUUGGACAAUGGGCGAAAGCCUGAUCCAGCAAUGCCGCGUGAGUGAUGAAGGCCUUAGGGUUGUAAAGCUCUUUUACCCGGGAUGAGAAUGACAGUACCGGGAGAAUAAGCUCCGGCUAACUCCGUG